rnacentral:lncRNA from 1 species
GGAUAUACAAUUAUUGCAUAUACUGUAGUCUUUCAAAUUUGUGAUUGACUUAGUUUGUCUAUUGCUAUGUUUGUAUAACGUACUUUCAGAUCACUGAAACUCCACCUGAUGUGGUGGAAGUUGUCAAACCAGAUCAAACCGCCUUCAAAGACCACCUUCAGGCGUAGACUGAGAAGGAUGUGGAGGUUUUUGACCAGAUGAGACUGAACAUGGACAAGGCACAGGAGAAACAGAAGGAGAGCUACCAGUGCAGAAUCAAGAUGGGGACCAAGUGCUAUGACAUACAGGGUUACCUCGGUGGAAGCCAACCAUCUUCUACAGUUGGAGCAGCUGGACAGUCGACCACUGAAAGCACUGACGCCCUACACUUCAGUGAAGCCCAAUAG